AGUGAACGCUGGCGGUAGGCCUAACACAUGCAAGUCGAAUGGCAGCACAGUAAGAGCUUGCUCUUACGGGUGGCGAGUGGCGGACGGGUGAGGAAUACAUCGGAAUCUCCUUUUUCGUGGGGGAUAACGUAGGGAAACUUACGCUAAUACCGCAUACGACCUACGGGUGAAAGCAGGGGAUCUUCGGACCUUGCGCGAUUGAAUGAGCCGAUGUCGGAUUAGCUAGUUGGCGGGGUAAAGGCCCACCAAGGCGACGAUCCGUAGCUGGUCUGAGAGGAUGAUCAGCCACACUGGAACUGAGACACGGUCCAGACUCCUACGGGAGGCAGCAGUGGGGAAUAUUGGACAAUGGGCGCAAGCCUGAUCCAGCCAUACCGCGUGGGUGAAGAAGGCCUUCGGGUUGUAAAGCCCUUUUGUUGGGAAAGAAAAGCAGCAGGUUAAUACCCCGCUGUUCUGACGGUACCCAAAGAAUAAGCACCGGCUAACUUCGUG
rnacentral:rRNA from 1 species